rnacentral:rRNA from 1 species
UACGUAGGGCGCAAGCGUUAUCCGGAAUUAUUGGGCGUAAAGAGCUCGUAGGCGGUGUGUCACGUCGGCCGUGAAAACUUACAGCUUAACUGUGAGCGUGCUUUCGAUACGGGCAGACUUGAGGCAUUCAGGGGAGAACGGAAUUCCUGGUGUAGCGGUGAAAUGCGCAGAUAUCAGGAGGAACACCUGCGGCGAAGGCGGGUUGCUGGGCCGACACUGACGCUGAGGCGCGAAAGCUAGGGGAGCGAACGGG